rfam:Moniliophthora roreri strain MCA 2952 kmer90.96820, whole genome shotgun sequence.
GCAUUAAUGGGGUAGUGGUAACCUGGGUCGUUGCCAUGGUGGAUCCAAUGGGUAAUCGGCUCGACCCGCCGGGGGUUCGAUUCCCCCUUAAUGCA